rnacentral:rRNA from 1 species
GAUGAACGCUGGCGGCGUGCCUAACACAUGCAAGUCGAGCGAGGGUUUGCUCAGUAUUGAGUAUUCUAAAACUAGAAUGUUCAAUUCUGAGCAAAACCAAGCGGCGGACGGGUGAGUAACGCGUGGGUAACCUGCCCUAUACACAUGGAUAACAUACUGAAAAGUUUACUAAUACAUGAUAAUAUAUAUUUGUGGCAUCGCAGAUAUAUCAAAGUGUUAGCGGUAUAGGAUGGACCCGCGUCUGAUUAGCUAGUUGGUGAGAUAACUGCCCACCAAGGCGACGAUCAGUAGCCGACCUGAGAGGGUGAUCGGCCACAUUGGAACUGAGACACGGUCCAAACUCCUACGGGAGGCAGCAGUGGGGAAUAUUGCACAAUGGGCGAAAGCCUGAUGCAGCAACGCCGCGUGAACGAUGAAGGUCUUCGGAUCGUAAAGUUCUGUUGCAGGGGAAGAUAAUGACGGUACCCUGUGAGG